GAUGAACGCUGGCGGCGUGCCUAAUACAUGCAAGUCGAGCGAACGGACGCGAAGCUUGCUUCUCUGAUGUUAGCGGCGGACGGGUGAGUAACACGUGGAUAACCUACCUAUAAGACUGGGAUAACUUCGGGAAACCGGAGCUAAUACCGGAUAAUAUUUUGAACCGCAUGGUUCAAAAGUGAAAGACGGUCUUGCUGUCACUUAUAGAUGGAUCCGCGCUGCAUUAGCUAGUUGGUAAGGUAACGGCUUACCAAGGCAACGAUGCAUAGCCGACCUGAGAGAGUGAUCGGCCACACUGGAACGGAGACACGGUCCAGACUCCUACGGGAGGCAGCAGUAUGGAAUCUGCCGCAAUGGGCGAAAGCCUGACGGAGCAACGCCGCGUGAGUGAUGAAGGUCUUCGGAGCGUAAAACUCUGUUAUUAGGGAAGAACAGAUGUGUAAGUAACUGUGCACAUCUUGACGGUACCUAAUCAGAAAGCCACGGCUAACUACGUG
rnacentral:rRNA from 1 species